AUUGAACGCUGGCGGCAGGCCUAACACAUGCAAGUCGAGCGAGCGGCGGACGGGUGAGUAAUGUAUGGGGACUGCCCGAUAGAGGGGGAUAACUACUGGAAACGGUAGCUUAUACCGCAUACUAUCGGAUAACCCAUAUGGGAUUAGCUAGUUGGUGAGGUAAUGGCUCACCAAGGCGACGAUGCCUAGCUGGUCUGAGAGGAUGAUAAGCCACACUGGGACUGAGACACGGCCCAGACUCCUACGGAGGCAGCAGUGGGGAAUAUUGCACAAUGGGCGCAAGCCUGAUGGAGCAACGCCGCGUGUAUGAAGAAGGCCCUAGGGUUGUAAAGUACUUUCAGUAGGGAGGCGUUACCGACAGAAGAAGCACCGGCUAACUCCGUGCCAGCAGCCGCGGUAAUUC
rnacentral:rRNA from 1 species